rnacentral:tRNA from 1 species
UUGAUAGAAACCAAAACAGAGGUAUAUUACUGUUAAUAAUAUAAUUGAGUAAUUCUCCUAUCAAG